UAAUUUUGAAAUUCCAAGAUUCAUCUAUUCAUUAGUCCUUUGAAUCCCAUUUCUUCCUGCUUGCCUCCUUGGAUGUCCAUCAGUCAUCUCCUCCUUUUCUUUAUCACUUCCAGUGUAUUUUCCCUCAGUACAUAAACAUGUCCAGUCUAUCCAAACUUACAUAUCCUUCCACAACAUCUAAAUUCAUUGUUAUGUGUAGUCUCUCCCUUUGUCUUAAGAUACCCUAGCUCAAACACUCAGACACCUUUUCACUUCAAAUCUUGUUUUAAAAGCCAGCUCCUCAAACUCAAUAUAUCUGAAAAUUAAAACCUCACUUUGAAUCUCCUUAGAACUUGUCCUCUUUGCUUUAGAUUUAUCUUUGUCACAGAAGUGAAACAGGUCCCCUCUAAAGCUAGCACAUGCAUAAUUCAAUUGCUAACUAUAAUUGGCUUUUAGUUCUGCCCACGUUUUCAGAGCUGGUAAGCUUCUCUUCCAACUCAAAUGAGUCAAGUCCUCCCCUUACUGAAGGCAUUAUUUGCAUGAACAUGAAACCAUGAUCUUAAUUUAAAAAUCUUUAAACUUAGAAGAUAGAGCCAGUUGUGUUGAAGAUGGGGUUGUGACAAGAAGAUAUUUGGAUAUUUGGGUUACUAUUCUAACUAUUAGCGUUCUACUUUCAUAUGUAAGAUAUCAAAUAACAUUUUAAAUGAUUUUCACUGCUAAUAUUGCUUGAACACCGCACUGCCUUACUGGUUAAAACAUAAACUACUUCAUUGUGUAUAAAACAUUCUCAAUUACUUUUUGCCCAGAGAAUCCCUGUUAAUUCUUCACUCCUUAAUGGGUCAUAUGCUAAUUUUCUAGACCUGUCUUUGACUUAUCUAGAUUUGAUGAAAACUAUUGUUAUUUGAAAAUGAAUCAAAGAAUGACUUUUGGCUUCAGGGAGUUUAUUAUCUAGUGACAUCUAAGAACCAUAUACAAGCUGGGCACAGUAGCUCAUGCCUAUAACGUCAGAACUUUGGGAGGCCAAGGCAGGAG
rnacentral:lncRNA from 10 species